UGAACGCUAGCGGCAGGCCUAAUACAUGCAAGUCGAGGGGCAGCGGGUGUAGCAAUACAUGCCGGCGACCGGCGCACGGGUGCGUAACGCGUAUGGAAUCUGCCCUUAACCGGGGGAUAGCCCGGAGAAAUCCGGAUUAAUACCCCAUAACAUAAGUUGUGGCAUCACAUUUUAUUAAAAAUUCCGAUGGUUAAGGAUGACCAUGCGUAUGAUUAGCUAGUUGGCGAGGUAACGGCUCACCAAGGCGACGAUCAUUAGGGGUACUGAGAGGUUACACCCCCACACGGAUACUGAGACACGGAUCCGACUCCUACGGGAGGCAGCAGUAAGGAAUAUUGGACAAUGGAGGCAACUCUGAUCCAGCCAUGCCGCGUGCAGGAAGAAGGUCCUACGGAUUGUAAAGCACUUUCAGAGGGAGAAAAAUCGGAGCUAACACCUCCGAGCUUGACGUUACCCUUACGAAGAAGCACCGGCUAACUCCGUGCCAGCAG
rnacentral:rRNA from 1 species